rnacentral:rRNA from 1 species
GGGAUAGCCUUUCGAAAGAAAGAUUAAUACCCGAUGGCAUAGUUCUUCCGCAUGGUAGAACUAUUAAAGAAUUUCGGUCAUCGAUGGGGAUGCGUUCCAUUAGGUUGUUGGCGGGGUAACGGCCCACCAAGCCUUCGAUGGAUAGGGGUUCUGAGAGGAAGGUCCCCCACAUUGGAACUGAGACACGGUCCAAACUCCUACGGGAGGCAGCAGUGAGGAAUAUUGGUCAAUGGACGAGAGUCUGAACCAGCCAAGUAGCGUGAAGGAUGACUGCCCUAUGGGUUGUAAACUUCUUUUAUACGGGAAUAAAGUGAGGCACGCGUGCCUUUUUGUAUGUACCGUAUGAAUAAGGAUCGGCUAACUCCGUGCCAGCAGCCGCGGUAAUACGGAGGAUCCGAGCGUUAUCCGGAUUUAUUGGGUUUAAAGGGAGCGUAGGCGGACGCUUAAGUCAGUUGUGAAAGUUUGCGGCUCAACCGUAAAAUUGCAGUUGAUACUGGGUGUCUUGAGUACAGUAGAGGCAGGCGGAAUUCGUGGUGUAGCGGUGAAAUGCUUAGAUAUCACGAAGAACUCCGAUUGCGAAGGCAGCCUGCUGGACUGUAACUGACGCUGAUGCUCGAAAGUGUGGGUAUCAAACAGGAUUAGAUACCCUGGUAGUCCACACAGUAAACGAUAAAUGCUCGCUGUUUGCGAUAUACAGUAAGCGGCCAAG